rnacentral:rRNA from 1 species
UGGAGAGUUUGAUCCUGGCUCAGAGUGAACGCUGGCGGUAGGCCUAACACAUGCAAGUCGAACGGCAGCACAGAGGAGCUUGCUCCUUGGGUGGCGAGUGGCGGACGGGUGAGGAAUACAUCGGAAUCUACUCUGUCGUGGGGGAUAACGUAGGGAAACUUACGCUAAUACCGCAUACGACCUACGGGUGAAAGCAGGGGAUCUUCGGACCUUGCGCGAUUGAAUGAGCCGAUGUCGGAUUAGCUAGUUGGCGGGGUAAAGGCCCACCAAGGCGACGAUCCGUAGCUGGUCUGAGAGGAUGAUCAGCCACACUGGAACUGAGACACGGUCCAGACUCCUACGCCGAGGCAGCAGUGGGGAAUAUUGGACAAUGGGCGCAAGCCUGAUCCAGCCAUACCGCGUGGGUGAAGAAGGCCUUCGGGUUGUAAAGCCCUUUUGUUGGGAAAGAAAUCCAGCUGGCUAAUACCCGGUUGGGAUGACGGGUUCCCAAAGUAGA